CAUUAAUAUUUUUUCAAGACCUAAGCUGAAUAAACUCCACAGCUAUAAAAGAUCUCCUCUAGUGAAGUCUACAGGGAUUGCAGGCUGAAAAAAAAUGUAUUAAAAUGUUUCAUUCAUUCUCAAGUACCCAUGAUAUAAAUUAAUCAUUAAAGAGGUUGCACUCAUCAACCAAAUAUUUAUUGAAAAGAUGGCAUUUACUCAAAAG